UACGUAGGGGGCAAGCGUUGUCCGAAGAUCAUUGGGCGUAAAGCGCGUGUAGGCGGCUGAGUAAGUCUGCUCUGAAAGCCCGGGGCUCAACCCCGGGAGGCGGGUGGAUACUGCUCAGCUCGAGUCCGGAAGAGGAGUGUGGAAUUCCUGGUGUAGCGGUGAAAUGCGCAGAUAUCAGGAGGAACACCAAUGGCGAAGGCAGCACUCUGGGACGGUACUGACGCUGAGACGCGAAAGCGUGGGGAGCAAACAGG
rnacentral:rRNA from 1 species